GCGAGUGAAGCGGCAAAAGCUCAAAUUUGAAAACCCUCGGGUGUUGUAAUUUGAUGAGGCCGGGUUGGACAGACACAAGUGCGUUGGAACACGCCGCCACAGAGGGUGACAGCCCCGUAGUCAGUCCACUAAACCCGUCCUCCAAGAGUCGAGUUGUUUGGGAAUGCAGCUCUAACGGGUGGUAAAUUCCAUCUAAAGCUAAAUACUGGCGAGAGACCGAUAGCGAACAAGUACAGUGAUGGAAAGAUGAAAAGCACUUUGAAAAGAGAGUGAAAAAGUACGUGAAAUUGUUGAAAGGGAAGGGGAAGUGGUGAUGGACUCUCGAGGGUUUGGGCGGUAAAACCACGGCAGACACGUAGCUCCUAGAGUGAUAUAGUCUGUCUGAGCAACCGCACCGGAUCCUAGAGAAGCCGCAAUCUUCAUUUCCCGCCC
rnacentral:rRNA from 3 species